AGUGGCCUAGCCUGGACCGCAAGGCCGAAGCCGCCUCCGGGCCGCGUCCCGGUGUUUCGGGUUGUGUAACCUUGGCCAAAAUGCUUAAGCUUUUUCCCUGGCUGCCAAAUGGGGCCGAUCGUCUGACCUGCUGCCUCCGGAACUUGAGGGAUCAGAUCAAAUAACCCUUUCCUGGCACUCGUCUGCCGCUGUGAAUGAAUCACGGGCUCCUGUAAUCACCGUUAGGAGAGAUUGUUAAACUCGUACAGGGUUGGAUGUUUUAAAGUUACUGAAUACUUACUGGACCCCUACUAUUCAAUCAAGACAUGCUAAGUUAGCUUGCCAUUCUUGUUCAUUUAUGUGUUUACUUAACUAUUUCUGGGUCUCCUCUUCCCAGUCAUAAAUACCUCUUGGAGUGUAAGCUCCUCGGAGCAGAGAUCCUGUUUCCAUAUUUCCUGUACCUAGAACAGUGCCAGAUCCGUAGUAGACACUGAAACAAAAAAUCUUUAAAAAAAAAAUAUAUACGAAUGUGGCACCACCAUUUACACAGGCCACUAAGCCAAAAAUCUCGAACUUGUCAGAUUGUCUCUUCUCAGCCAUCAGCAGUCAACAAGUUCUAGCAUUUGGUCUCUUAAAAGUGGUUCAAGAGUUUAUUUUUCCUCUCCUUCCUCUGCCAGUACCAACCAGUCUUCCGUAUCACUAUGUAUUGCAAGAGUCUCACAAGAAGAUAUCCAUCACUGACUGAUCUUCCUCCCGUUUAACAUCCCCAACAGGUGCCAGGGUGAUGUUUUCUUUAUUCUAAAAAGAAACCAGAUUAUAUCGCUCACUCCCUUGCUUAAAACAGUUCUUCAAUGUUAGGUAAAUAAAUCAUGGAGUCACCACGAAGGCUUUCAUCUGCCAGGCACUAUUCUGAACGAUAUUGGCUCAUUUAAUUCUCACAGAAACCCUAUGCAGCAGAUACGGUGAAAAUGUUCCUGUUACAGAUGAGGUAACUGCAGCACAGAGAGCUUGAGUGGCUUGCUGAAACACCAGACCCACUCAGUCUGGCUCCAUAAUAGGUCUUUUUGCUGGUAAUGAUUUACCAACUAUACAGCCACUUCAAAAAAAGGAAAUAGGGCCCUCGUGACUGGACCUCAUGCCAAACAACUCGUUACAAAAAGAGCUAGGGUUCCAGACUGCGCCGAAGCUUCAUGAGACCUCUCCUUGUCUGCAUGGACGAGUGGCCGACUCUGGAGCCCAGGCUGUUGCUUCCCAGUCUGGUGGUGAAUCCUCCAUAGUCUGGUGAGUGUAAAUACAUAUAUAUAUCUUUUCCCUUCUCCCUUCCCGUUGCAAUUUGCUUAUUAUAUCAUUUGCUUAUUGUAUCAUUUGCUUAUAUCUGCACUGCCAUUUGGGAUAAAGCUUGUUUACCCUUAAAGGUAUUGUGUGUGUGUCUCCUCCCCGCGCG
rnacentral:lncRNA from 1 species